GAACCUAAUUGAUUUACUUAAUAUUUUUACAGUGAUUCGAUGUUGACGAUCUGUUUAGAAGAGCUCCAGAGAGAAAAAAGAUUAUGGAAGUGCUGACGCAAAAUGAAAAACCGAACUGUACAACAAUCAAACAAAUUACGUACUUGCUAUGCGAUUUUUUAAAACAUUAUUUUGGCGUACGUCCUUCGUCUUUUCUAUAAAAACCUUCUGGCAGAAUCACUUGUAUCGAAAUAUAGAAUAUUGGCGUCCACGGUAUCGGAGGUACGAUAGGCUCUAUGGUUUUAUUGCAAAUGGUGGAGGAGACGGGUGUCAUUCCGGGCAAAUUCAUUACCAUAUGGAGUAUCUUGCAAAAAAAGUCGGAAGCAAGAAUCUUCCGAAGAGAAACGUCGAGGCUGCAGUUGCAUAAUAAGGAUAAAGUAAAAGAUGCCGUCACUGAUUUAGACGUUAUUACUAUGGUGAUAUAUAAAGCUACGUAAUGUUAUGCUUUAAUGCCAUUCUGAUGACAUUUUCUAGAGAAGCAUUUAAAUUCAUUGUUUCCGUAGACACCAACAAGUAUAAAGGAAUUGUGGGAAAGCAGCCGAAAUGCAUACCGCAAACAAAAUUUUUUAUUCAUAUUUGGAAGAGUUUCCCUCCGACUCAGCGUUCAAUAGACAAUUGAUUAAUUACGAUUUCGGUAAAAUGUUUAACGGCACAAAUUUUUCAAGCAAGUAGGGUGAUUGGCAAUGUCGUAUUCUUAAUGACCAUAAGAAUCUCUUCAACGAAUUGACUGAUGAUUUCGUUUGUUCCCUUGUUAUUGUUCGUAUCAAAAAUCCUACGAGAGGAUCAAAAUG